GUAAUGUUGUGGUAGUAUGUAAUGAUGGAUAUGAAAUAGUGUGAACUCAUUGCGUACGAGUAGAAUCUGAUAUGAUUGAAUAAAGGUUAUUAUGACAACCUAGUUUUGGUGAAUAUUUAGAAGAUGUAAACUCCUAGUGAGUAGUUAUGGUGAAAUGUGAUAAUAGAUGAGAAAUCCUCAAAGGAGGAAAUUGUAAAGGUUAAGCUACAAACCUAGUUUUGAUCAAGAGAAUAAGCAGAGAUUAGUAUGCUUUAAUUUUGAGGAGGAAAUUCUUAGAAGAAGAGGUGAAUGUGAUAACCCAAAUUUUUGGGUAAUAUUAAAAUAAGAUUUAAAUAAAGAAAAUUCUUAUUAUAUGAUAUUUUAUGUGAUAUUGUAGUGCACAAAGGAAUAUGUGCCAUGCAAUAGGUGAUGUUGUGUAUAAUAAAUAUAUUAGAAUUAUAUAUUUCUUAUAUAUAAGUAAGGUGUAGGAGUAAAUUAUUAAAGGAAAUUAGAUAGGUAAAAUUAAAAUAAUUUAUAAUAUUAAAUUAUUUUAAUGUGAUAAAUUGGUGGCAUUAAAUAUACUUCAUGUAUAGCCACUAUUUUAUUUAAGAAAUCAUAUAUGACCUUAUUGAGUGUAAUGUAUGCAUGUAUUUAAUGUGGUGAAUAUAUUAAUAUAUUUACUUCAGUUAAAAAAAUUGUGAAGACAAUUUAUAGAAAGUAAAGAAAAUAAUUGGAUAUAUGGUAUUACGUUAUAUGGAUAAUGGUAUAAUAUUUUAUAUUAUACCAAAGGAUGUAAAAUAAAAAUAUGUGAUGAGAUCCCAUAUAUAAAUAUGCAUAUUGGUAUCAACCAGUUAGUAAAUUAAAUUCAUAUUUGAAUAAAUGAUUGAAUAUAUUAAAUUAUAUAUUUAAUAUAUAAAUAAAUUAUUUGAAAAUAAUUUAUGGAGAGGAGGAUGAAAUUAAAUUUAAUUAUAUAAUAUAAAUUGUAUAACUUAAAUAAGUUAUUUAAAUUAAGUAUGAGAAUUAACUUCUCGUACCCAGCCCUCUUCUGCUAUGGUAAGCCUCUCUGAGCUCUCCUUCAGAUCCUUCUUUAACUUCUCUAUUUCUGCGGACUUAUCCUCGGUCUGUCCCUUCUCGUGAACCAGAUCCCACUCCAUGUCUCCCAAACGUGUGUGAAGAGUCACAAUCUCUCUAUCCUUCUGCUCAAUAGUAAUCUGCUGACUAAUCGCCUGUUCAAUCAGAUCCCGAACAGUUUCCUGCAACUCUACAUUACGAUCAUAGAGUGCAUCAUACAUCUCUGCAUCAAUGGAGUUCGGUGGGAACUCCUCUUCUUCCUCAGGAUCCUCCUCUGGAUCAGUCUCAGGCUCAUGCUCCUGACCAACAAUAGUGAUCAAUAGAGAUGGCUCUCUCUGCACCAACUGUUCCAUGACGACAUGAAUGUCUCGGGGCUCCUCCUCCGUAGGUACUCGGGUUCCUCCUCCCUAGCUCGACUAGCUCCUCCAACAUCCGACAUCCUGACAACAAAAUUUUAAGUUUUAGUUACUAAUCCAUGCUAGCGAACACAUAGAUUAACACAUAAGCACAUAAAGUUUUUUAUUAUCUUUAAUGAAUUUAGAAAUUCAUUUCUUAAAACUCGAUAAGAGUUUACCACUACUAUGUUCUCGAUCUCCUACAAGGCUACUACCUAAGAUUUUUUUCCCCACCUAAGGUUCAUAACCUUACAGCUUUGAUACCAACCUGUAACACCCCCAAAUCCGGUACUUCCGUUUCUACAGGAUUUGGUGUUCACUGUACAAGCAUCAUCUAUCUAUCUAUCCAUAAAUAAAUUUCAAACCAUGCAAUAGAUGGAAUAAAUAAUAAAUCUCUCCCCUUAUGGGGUUACAUCAACUGAAUAAUAAAUAAAUCCCAGGUUACUCUAACCUUAAAACAUCUGUGCGAAAAACAUAAACAAAUAAGUCUUAGUAACAUCAAUUCUAAUUACAUCACAUAACCACAUUAAUAAAACAGUCUUCAUUACUUGCUAAGCUUGCCCUUGCCCUUACAAGUGGAAGGUUCGUCUGCUCUUUCGUUCUUAACUGCAAUGUUAUUAUUACGCAAGAGUGAGCACGAUUGCCCAUAAGUAUAACAAUAUAACAAUGAAUAAUAACAUGCGAGAGAAAUAAUAACUUCUGAUGUAAAAGCUCAACUUUUGAAUCAAGAAUGAAUAAUAAGAAUCAAAAGAAUUCCUGAGGGUCAUAGGACUUUGAACUACGUCCUAGGUUGUCAAGUGUUUAUACUUAAAACCUUUAACAGUCAUAAGACUAUGGACUCUUCUUCUCGUACUUAGGGGGAUCAGCCCUUAGUACCAUACUGUGCAUGAUAUCUUAACGCUAAAGCAUAAAUAAUCCCCUAUACAGGGUUGUUCAUCUCAGUUUGACAUUCAAGUCCGCACCAAAGGAAGUUUGGUUUGGAUAAUUCAUCAAGGGAUUCUGAAAUUUAGAACGCUCAUCAAUUAUGGACUAGUCGAAUCAAUAAGGAUUCGCUAGUGUAACAAGGUUUAACAGUAAACGAAUAUUUAACAUGAAUAACAUCUCAAAAGGUAUACAAUAGAAUAAUUAUUGCAUAACAACAUCAUGCUUGAAGAUUAAUAAACUUUAAUAUACAAGACAGGCUUGAUUAAUAAUAAUGAGAACUUUCUCAAUAUCAAAAGAUGAAUUAAUCAACUUAUAUAACGAUAACAAGUAGGGUUAGGAAACUUGCUCAACAAAAGUUUAGGGUAAGAAACUUGCCUCGUGUGUAGAUUACACGUUAAUAAAACUCAUUCUUUGAAUUAAAUCCUAUAUAUUAAUUACGUUCACAAUACCAGUCAAUAAUAAUGUACUAAACAUCAUAAGUUAUUUUUUGUCUAAUCUCGACUUCAUGACUAUACUUAGUAAAUUACUACACUUAGUGUAAAAAUUUAAUACUUCACGAACGAUAAGCUACUAUGCAUUCGAUCAAUCAAUUCAGACGAAAUUGUGUUAUGGAUAUGUUAAUAAUUCAUUUAACACCUCAUUAUAUGUCUAACAAGUUUUUAUGCUCAUUAGAUUAAGUUAAUAACACAUUGCCACACUUAAACAUUUUAAAAAAUCAUUUCUGGCCAUUCUGCUAAGUGGCGCUGCGGUGCCACUUUUAUACUAUGUCUUGGCACUGCGGCGCAGGUGUCUGGCGCUGCGGUGCGAGUCUCAGGCCUGGAGUUGGCGCCGCGGCGCGACACUCCAGAUUCCGAAUUUACUAGUUCGCGAAUAACACAGAAUUCAACAAAAUAAACUCUAUAUGAUCAUUAAUUUCACCAAAUUAAACAUACCCACAAGUUAUAAUUCAUAUAUAAUCAUUACUCAACACUUAUAGAGUGAUUUUAACCCAUUAAAACACAUAAUCAUAGAAUUAAAACAUGAAAUUUUCCACUGUUCUUGAUGUUCUUGAAGUUUUGAACAAAAACAUGGAAUUUAAUGCUACGGAUCCGUUAUAAAGCCAAAUCCAGCCAUUCAAGUUUCAUUUUUUCGUUUUAGCAUGCAUACUCAUAUACAAGUGGAAAUUUUGCAAAACCAUUUAUGUUUAACAUACUAAAAACACGUAUAAGGCCAUAUGGCCAUAUAAAAUACUCUAAAAUCUUUUACUGAAUAAUUUCAUGAAACUGAAGAUAUAGAAACCCAUAUAAUAUAUAUAAAAUAUGCUAUGAUGUUAUAUAUUAACACAUAAUCACAUAAUUGUUACCCUUUCCAACUACAAAAACUUUACAGAAGACUUAGACCAUAUUCAUGAAAACUUAAAAGACGUAAAUAGGAAUUUAGGUUGGAGAGAAUUACCCAAAGCGUAGAAUAUAACUUGCAGAAGAUGAAUUCCCUCUCAAUUCUUUACCAAUCACACACUAAAUUACUCAAACUCUCUCUGUUACGCUUUCUAGACUUAGGCAAAUAAUGAAAAAGAAAAGAAAAGACGUCUGAUAAAUAAGGAGAAGAACUGACGCAAUAAUGGUCAGUUACCCCAUCAUGGUGAACCGCUAAUAACUCCCCUUAGGGCAUCAUUUGGCUAGGAUUAAAAGGUUUCAAAAACUAUUUAAUUUAAUAAAACCUUAUCAUAUAGUUUAAAUAAUUUCACACCCAUUAUAAAAUAAAUCUAAUAUCUUAUUUAAUAAAAUAUAAUAAUUUCUCAAUAAUGCAUAUAGUCACAUAAUUAAAUUUCUCAUUUAAUAAUAAUAUCAAAUUAUUAAAUCUCUAAUUAAUAAUUAAAUUAAUUAAAAAAAUAACAUUAAGCUUAUUAAAUAUUUCUUUUAAUACGAUAAGCUCACAUAAUCACAUACUUCGAAUAAUAAAAUUCUCCACAUUAAUUUCAUAAAUAUAACACAUAUAAUUAAAUUAAUCUAUCACAACUUCAUCAAUUAAUUAAUUAAUCUAAUAAUUAAUUCAUCAAAAAAUAUUUAUUCAAUCCAAUAAAUAUUUAAAUUAAAUUAUAAAAUCUCGGUUGUCACAUGUUUUCCCUCUUAAAAGGAUUCUGUCCUCAGAAUCACAACUCAAUAAUUCGUCCCGUUACAUUCUCCCCCCUUUAGAAGAUUUUGUCCCCAGAAUCGCUUAUAACAAUCUAAGUAAAAAAAUGAGGAUAAUUUUUCAUCAUAUUCUCUUCGAGUUCCCACGUAGCUUCUUCAGCGUUGUGGUUCCUCCAAAUUACCUUAACAGAAGAUAUUACUUUAUUUCUCAGAACUUGUUCUUUUCUGUCGACAAUUUGAACAGGAAUUUCUUCGUAAGACAAGUCUUUGUCGAAAUGUAGGGGUUCAUAUUCAAUCACGUGCUUGUAAUCGGGUUUGUAGGGUCGUAGGACUGAGACAUGGAAAACGUUGUGGACAUUCUCUAGAGCUGGAGGUAAGGCUACCUCAUAAGCAACUUCUCCAACCCUUCUCAGAACUUCAAAGGGUUCGAUGAAUCUUGGGCUCAAUUUUCCUUUCUUUCCGAACCUGAUCUUUCCCUUCCAAGGAGAGACCUUUAAGAACACAUAGCUACCCGGCUCGAAUUCGACAUUCUUGCGGUGUGGAUCGGCGUAUAUCUUCUGUCUACCUUGAGCUGCUGUCAAUCUUGCUCGAAUCACCUUGACUAUCUCUGCUGUUUGUUGUACCAAUUCCGGGCCUAGUAGUUUUCUUUCGCCAACUUCAUCCCAAUAUAGUGGAGUUCUGCACUUUCUGACGUAUAACACUUCAUAGGGUGGCAUUCCAAUACUAGCGUGGUAACUGUUGUUGUAACCGAACUCUACAAGCGGUAAAUGAUCAUCCCAAUUUCCUUUAAAAUCCAUUAUACAAGCUCUUAACAUAUCUUCCAAUUUCUGAAUUGUUCUUUCACUCUGUCCAUCUGUCUGAGGGUGAUAUAUCGUACUCAUUCGCAACUGUGUACCCAUGCAUUCCUGUAGACGUUUCCAAAAGUUCGACGUAAAACGCAGAUCUCUAUCAGAAACAAUUGACACCAAAACUCCGUGCCUUGAAACAAUCUCUUUCACAUAUAACCUUACCAACUAAUCUAGGUUGAAUCUGAUUUUGAUCGGAAGGAAGUGUGCAGAUUUCGUUAAUCGGUCAACAAUAACCCAUACUGCGUCGUAGCCUUUUUAUGUCGUCGGUAGGCUAACCACGAAAUCCAUCGUAAUAUGUUCCUAUUUCCAUUCUGAAAUCUCUAAAGGUUGUAGCAACCCACUCGGUCUCUGAUGUUUUGCUUUCACUUUUUGACAUGUCAAGCAUUUGGCAACACAUUCUGCAACCUCUCAUUUUAAAUUUGGCCACCAAAAGUGUUGUCGAAGAUCUUGGUACAUCUUGGUGCUACCAGGGUGAAUCUAAUAUCUUGAGUUGUGAGCCUCAUUUAAAAUUUCUUCCUUAAUCUCUGGUACUGGCGGUACCCAAAUUCUGCUCUCAAAUCUUAGUAGUCCUUCACUGUCUAUUUUAAAUCUCGGUUCAGUCCCUUCAGAUAUCUUCUUCUUCACUUUCUCACAUUCUUCGUCCUGAAGUUGAGCCUCCUUAACUUUAUCCAGUAAAGUUGUACCAGCUUGCAUCUGGAACAACUUCUCAUCCAUCUCUAUAGGAUACUUCACUUCCAAUUCCAGCUUUUCCAUUGCUAAAAUUAGCUCCUCCUGAGCAGUCAACAUCAUCAAUUUCUCCCGACCCUUUCUACUUAAGGCGUCGGCAACCACAUUUGCCUUACCCAGAUGGUAUAGAAUCUCACAAUCGUAAUCCUUAAUUAACUCCAACCACCUUCUUUGACGCAUGUUCAAGUCUUUCUGUGUAAAAAUAUAUUUCAGACUCUUGUGAUCUGUAUAUAUUUCACACUUCUCCCCAUAGAGAUAGUGCCUCCAGAUUUUCAAAGUAAAAACCACUGCAGCUAACUCCAAGUCAUGGGUCGGAUACCCCUUCUCAUAAUAUUUUAGUUGUCGUGACGCGUACGCAAUGACUCUACCGUUCUGCAUAAGCACACAGCCAAGUCCUUUAUGCGACGCAUCACUAUAAACCACAAAAUUUCCCGUGUCAUCUGGAAGAGAUAACACAGGUGCUGAACUCAACCUCCUCUUUAAUUCUUGAAAACUUUCCUCACACUUCUCCGUCCAAACAAAUUUCACCGAUUUCCUAGUCAAAUUCGUCAAUGGAGUUGCGAUCUUGGAAAAAUCCUGAAUGAAUCUUCUGUAAUAACCUGCCAAUCCAAGAAAACUUCUUACUUCUGACGGCGUCUUCGGCUGGUCCCAAUUAAUCACAGCUUUGACUUUGGAGGGAUCCACCGAAAUUCCGUCUCUAUCAAUCACAUGUCCAAGAAAUUAUACUCUUUCAAUCAAGAAUUCACAUUUCAAAAACUUAGCAUACAAAUUUUCUCUUCUCAAUGUCUCUAAUGUCAACCUCAAAUGCUCUUCGUGUUCUUCCUUUGUUUUUGAAUAUACCAAAAUGUCAUCUAUAAAUACCACUACGAAUUUGUCCAAAAACGGCUUGAACACUCCAUUCAUUAAGCCCAUAAAUGUUGUAGGAGCAUUCGUUAGACCAAAUGACAUUACCAGAAAUUCAUAUUGACCGUAUCGUGUUCUAAAUGCUGUAUUCGGUACAUCCUCUGGUCUCACCUUCAGUCGAUGAUAACCACUUCUCAAAUCUAUCUUCGAAAAGUAUCUUGCUCCCUUUAACUGAUCGAACAAAUCGUCGAUUCGCAGUAAUGGAUACCUAUUCUUAAUCGUGACCUUAUUCAGUUCUCUAUAGUCGAUGCAGAGCCGCAUUGUCCCAUCCUUCUUCUUCACAAAUAAAACCGGCGCUCCCCACGGUAAUACGCUUGGUUGAAUAUACUUUUUAUCCAGUAAUUCUUGUAGUUGGACCAUCAGUUCUUUCAUCUCUACCGGUGCCAUUCGGUACAGUGCCAUUCGGUACAGUGCCUUCGAUGGGCCAUUCCUGGAGCCAAAUCGAUAACAAAUUCAACUGCUCUAUCUGGAGGAAGUCCCGGCAAAUCAUCCGAAAAUACGUCUGCGAAAUCUCUCACUACCGGAAUCUCAUCAAUUUUUGGAUUCUCUUUAUGACUAUCGACUAUGUAAGCUAGAUAUCCUAUACAGCCUUGCCUUAACAAUCUUUUGGCCUGCAUCAUCAUCAGACAACUCACUUGUCUAGGCGACUUGCUACCAUAAAACACAACCUUUGACGGAGUCAUAAGGUUAAUACGCUUCUUCUGGCAGUCAAUUAUCGCCCCAUAAUUGGAUAACCAAUCCAUACCCAAAAUAACAUCAAAUUCUCCAAGUCGAAUAGGGAUAAGAUCUACGUUCAUGAUAUUACCCUUAAUAUCCACUCUACAGUUCUUGUGCACGUACUUAAUAGGGAUAAUUUCUCUAUUCGGAAUUUCUAUGUUCAUGGGGUAUUCUAACUCGUCCUUAAGCAAUUCUAAGUUCUUAGCAAAGUCAUCGGAUAUAAAUGAGCAAGUAGCACCCGAAUCAAAUAACACAUAAGCAUUAACUUUAUUGAUCGGAAUGAUACCUGACACCACAUCGCGAGACUGCACUGCGUCCUGCACUGUCAUGUUGAAUGUUCUGGCAGUCGGUCGGUUAGUUGCGAUUGGUGCUGCGAUUUUCAGAGUGCUUCCACCAGUAUUUCCUCUGUUUCCUCCUGAACUCGUCCCUCCCAAUCCCUUCUUCGGACAAUCUCUUCUAAGAUGGUCCUUUGAGCCAUAUGUGAAGCAUGCACCCUUCUUUGGGUUCGGACAAUUUGGUGCUAUGUGGCCUUCCUGACCACAAUUAUAGCACACUCGCUUCCCCUUCAGACAAACUCCCAAAUGCGUUUUUCUGCAGGUUGGGCACGGUUCAAUCUUCUUCUUCUGCCCUCCCUGUUGACUUCCAGCCGACGAAUUAUCAGACCACUUCCUCUUCUGACUGUGAUUACCCCCAGUGCUACUCCCACCAGUCUUAUUAUUACCUUCCUUCUCACUUUUCUUCUUCUUCUGCUCCUGAUUAUACUUUGUUACUGCAUCGCUUCCACCCUCGGCGAGUAUGGCCUUCUCUAACACUCCAGCAAAAGUGUUCAAUUGGAACAUUGACACUUUGCUAUACAACCAGGGCUUCAGUCCCUGCUCAAAUCAUCUCGCCUUCCUCUCAUCGGUAUGUACUUGGUACGUGGAGAACCUAGCCAACUCGUUGAACCUUGCUGCAUAAUCAGCUACUGACAUAUUUCCCUGCUUCAACUCUAGAAAUUGGUCUUCCAUCUGAUUUUGUGAACUGGUUGGGAAAUAGAUCUCGAAGAACAUCUCUUUGAAUCUUUCCCAGGAUAUUACACCUUCACCUCCUCUCACUUUGUUUUCCUGCCACCAAUAGCUGGCUUCGGACUUCAGCAUAAACGUUGCAUAAGCAGUCUUCUGAUCUUCCCUUACCCUAGUAACAUCUAACACCUUCUCCAUCUCCAUUACCCAGGUCUGAGCUUCGAUUGGGUUUAUGGAACCCUUAAACUAUGGCGGUCCCACCGCCUUGAAGUCCUUAAAUGAAGUAUUUGGUGGAGCUUGGGGUUAAUUAUUAAGUGCUCCAGCUAAAAGGUUUACCAAUUGCUGAACGGAGUUAGCAUUGGCGUCGUUGUUAUUGUUUGUUGACCCUUCCUGGGCUUGCUGACGAUUUUGUCUUCUAGGCGGCAUAUUUCUGUUAAGAAUAUACGCUUAUUAGAUCUUUACUCAAUCUCUAAAACAUUUAAGACUUAACUAAACAUUUAAUCAUAACUCACUUAACAUAUUACUUCAAAUAAACUUUGACAUUUCAUUUAAUUCAAAAGUCUUUACAUCAUAAGAUAGCAUCACUGCUAUUUACAUCAACUAUCCCAAGAUAAAGAAUCUACAGGAUUUAAAACAUCACAAUAUUCCUUUAUUUAUGAACAUAUCGGAAUUUACAUCAUUAAGUAUCAAAUAGUUUUCAUAUAUUUAAACUAAUACUAUCACUGUCUGUUAAGGCGCUGGAUAGCCUUGCUACAUUCCUCCUCCAUGAUGCGAGACAUCGUUCUGCGAUCUAGCAUAUAUGAUGGUAGAUCCUCAAACUGGAUUGGAUACUUCCUAACUCGAUCUUGGACCGCAUCCAUUGCAUUUUGUAGUGUAGAGUACGUCUCCUCAAGUUUAGCCUUCUUCGCACGAUGAUCAUCUUCUGCACGAUCAGCACGGCGUGACUCUCGUACCCAGCCCUCCUCUGCUAUGGUAAGCCUCUCUGAGCUCUCCUUCAUAUCCUUCUUUAACUUUUCUAUUUCUGCGGACUUAUCCUCGGUCUGUCCCUUCUCGUGAACCAGAUCCCACUCCACGUUUCUCAAACAUGUGUGAAGAGCCACACUCUCUCUAUCCUUCUGCUCAAUAGUAAUCUGCUGACUAACCGCCUGUUCAGUCAGAUCCCGAACAGUAUCCUGCAACUCUACGUUAUGAUCAUAGAGUGCAUCAUACAUCUCUGCAUCAAUGGAGUUCGGUGGGAAUUCCUCUUCUUCCUCAGGAUCCUCCUCUGGAUCAGUCUCAGGCUCAUGCUCCUGACCAACAAUAGUGAUCAAUGGAGAUGGCUCUCUCUGCACCAACUGUUCCCUGACGACAUGAAUGUCUCGGGGCUCCUCCUCCGUAGGUACUCGGGGUUCCUCCUCCCCAGCUCGACUAGCUCCUCCAACAUCCGACAUCCUGACAACAAAAUUUUAAGUUUUAGUUACUAAUCCGUGCUAGCGAACACAUAGAUUAACACAUAAGCACAUAAAGUCUUUUAUUAUCUUCAAUGAAUUUAGAAAUUCAUUUCUUAGAACUCGAUAAGAGUUUACCACCACUAUGUUCUCGAUCUCCUACAAGGCUACUACCUAAGGUUGUUCCCCCACCUAAGGUUCAUAACCUACAGCUUUGAUACCAACCUGUGACACCCCCAAAUCCGGUACUUCCAUUUCCACAGGAUUUGGUGUUCACUGUACAAGCAUCAUCUAUCUAUCUACCCAUAAAUAAAUUUCAAACCAUGCAAUAGAUAAAAUAAAUAAUAAAUCUCUCCCCUUAUGGGGUUACAUCAACUGAAUAAUAAAUAAAUCCCAGGUUACUCUAACCUUAAAACAUCUGUGCGGAAAACAUAAACAAAUAAGUCUUAGUAACAUCAAUUCUAAUUACAUCACAUAACCACAAUAAUAAAACAGUCUUCAUUACUUGCUAAGCUUGCCCUUGCCCUUACUAGUGGAAGGUUCGUCUGCUCUUUCGUUCUUAACUGCAAUGUUAUUAUUACGCAAGAGUGAGCACGAUUGCCCACAAGUAUAAUAAUAUAACAAUAAAAUAAUAACAUGCGAAUGAAUCAAAGACUUCUGAAAUAAGAAAACUCAGCUUUUGAAUCAAGAAAGGAUAACAAGAAUCAAAAGAAUUCCUGAUGGUCAUAAGACCUUUAACUACGUCCAAGGUUGUCAAGUGUUUAUACUUUAAACCUUUAACAGUCAUAAGACUAUGGACUCUUCUUCUCGUACUUAGGGAGAUCAGCCCUUAGUACCAUACUGUGCGCGAUAUCUUACUGCUAAAGCAUAAAUAAUCCCCUAUACAGGGUUGUUCAUCUCAGUUGGACAUUCGAGUCCGCACCAAAGGAAGUUUGGUUUGGAUAAUUCAUCAAGGGAUUCUGAAAUUUAUAACACUCGUCAAUUAUGGACUAGUCGAAUCAAUAAGGAUUUGCUAGUCUAACAAGGUUUAACAGUAAAUGAAUAUUUAACUUGAAUAACAUUUCAAAAGGUAUACAAUAGAAUAAUUAUUGUAUAACAAUAUCAAGCUUGAAGAUUAAUAAACUUUAAUAUACAAGACAGGCUUGAUCAAUAAUAAUGAGAACUUGCUCAAUAUCAAAAGAUGAAUUAAUCAACUUAUAUAACGAUAACAAGUAGGGUUAGGAAACUUGCUCAACAAAAGUUUAGGGUAAGAAACUUGCCUCGUGUGUAGAUUACACGUUAAUAAAACUCGUUCUUUGAUUUAAAUCCUAUAUAUCAAUUACGUUCACAGUAUCAGUCAAUAAUAAUGUACUAAACAUCAUAAGUUAUUCAUUGUCUAAUCUCGACUUCAUGACUAUACUUAGUCAAUUACUACACUCAGUGUAAAAAUUUAAUACUUCACGAACGAUAAGCUACUAUGCAUUCGAUCAAUCAAUUCACACAAAAUUGUGUUAUGGAUAUGUUAAUAAUUCAUUUAACACCUCAUUAUAUGUCUAACAAGUUUUUAUGCUCAUUAGAUUAAGUUAAUAACACAUUGCCACACUUAAACAUUUUUAAAAAUCAUUUCUGGCCAUUCUGCUAAGUGGCACUACAGUGCCACUUUUAUACUAUGUCUUGGCGCUGCGGCGCGAGUCUCAGGCCUGGAGUUGGCGCUGCGGUGCGACACUCCAGAUUCUGAAUUUCCAGUUCGCGAAUAACACAAAAUUCAACGAAAUAAACUUUAUAUUAUAAUUAAUUUCACCAAAUUAAACAUACCCACAAGUUAUAAUUCAUAUAUAAUCAUUACUCACCACUUAUAGAGUGAUUUUAACCCAUUAAAACACAUAAUCAUAGAAUUAAAACAUGAAAUUUUCCACUGUUCUUGAAGUUUUGAACAAAAACAUGGAAUUUAAUGCUACGGAUUCGUUAUAAAGCCAAAUCCAGCCAUUCAAGUUUCAUUUUGUUCGCUUUAGCAUGCAUAAUCAUAUACAAGUGGAAAUUUUGCAAAACCAUUUAUGUUUGACAUACUAAAAACACGUAUAAGACCAUAUGGCCAUAUAACAUACUCUGAAAUCUUUUACUGUAUAAUUUCAUGAAAUUGAAGAUAUGGAAACCCAUAUAAUAUAUAUAAAACAUGCUAUGAUGUUAUAUAUUAACACAUAAUCACAUAAUUGUUACCCUUUCCAACUACAGAAACUUUACAGAAGACUUAGGCCAUAUUCAUGAAAACUUAAAAAGACGUAAAAUAGGAAUUUGGGUUGGAGAGAAUUACCCAAAGCGUAGAAUAUAACUUGCAGAAGAUGAAUUCCCUCUCAAUUCUUUACCAAUCACACACUAAAUAACUCAAACUCUCUCUGUUACGCUUUCUAGACUUAGGCAAAUAAUGAAGAAGAAAAGAAAAGACGUCUGAUAAAUAAAGAGAAGAACUGACACAAUAAUGGUUAGUUACCCCAUCAUGGUGAACCGCUAAUAACUCGCCUUAGGGCCUCGUUUGGCUGGGAUUAAAAGGUUUCAAAAACUAUUUAAUUUAAUAAAUCCUUAUCAUAUAGUUUAAAUAAUUUCACACCCAUUAUAAAAUAAAUCUAAUAUCUUAUUUAAUAAAAUAUAAUAAUUUCUCAAUAAUGCACAUAGUCACAUAAUUAAAUUUCUCAUUUAAUAAUAAUAUCAAAUUAUUAAAUCUCUAAUUAGUAAUUAAAUUAAUUAAAAAAAUAACAUUAAGCUUAUUAAAUAUUUCUUUUAAUACAAUAAGCUCAGAUAAUCACAUACUUCGAAUAAUAAAAUUUUCCACAUUAAUUUCAUAAAUAUAACACAUAUAAUUAAAUUAAUCUAUCACAACUUCAUCAAUUAAUUAAUUAAUCUAAUAAUUAAUUCAUUGAAAAAUAUUUAUUUAAUCCAAUAAAUAUUUAAAUUAAAUUACAAAAUCUCGGUUGUCACAUUUUGUGUAUGAAAUAUAUUUAUAUUUGUUUGGGUAAGGGAUAGAAAAAUAAUAAGUGGAUUUGGUAUUUUCGUGAAAAGGAUAUUGAAUCCAACUUGCUGGAUUGAAAAAUUUAUGAAUCCAGCUUGCUGGAUUGAAAGAUUUAUGAAUCCAGGCUUGCUGGAUUGAAAGGUUAUGAAUCCAGCUUGCUGGAUUGAAGGAUUGGUGAAUCCAGGCUUGCUGGAUUAAAAAUCAGUUGAAUCCAGGUUGCUGAAUUUGGAAUCCAGUUUACUGGAUUUGGAAUCCAGUUUGCUGGAUUGCAAUCUGGUUUGCUGGAUUGCAAAUCUGGGUUACUGGAUUAGUAUUUGACUUAUUAGAUGUUAAAGAAGAACUUAUAAUAUGAAAGAUUAAAGUGUUAAAUCAUAAUGUAUAUGAUAUAAUGAUUAAAGAAUUAUCAAAGGACGAUAAUAAUAAUGAUGUUUUAAGGAGUAAUCUAAUAUUUGAUUAUGUGAUAAGUGUUUAAGUAUUAUAAUGACUAUAAUUAACAAUAGUGUAUGUUAUGAUAUUAUUCUAAUUAGAAGAUCAAUAUUGUUAAUAUUAGGUCUUCGGAUAAAGCUAUAUAGAUUGCGUAGCUGUUGUCGGUGAUUCAAGCAAGUUUCCUAACUCAACUUGAGUUGUUAUUGUAAAGCAUGUUAGUGGUUAAUCAUUGUUGAUUAUACCACGUCUAUAAUUUAUUGAUUCGCACUCUGUGCAUAUUGCAUGUGUUCAUCAGGUAUGAAAGGCUGAUCACCUUCAUUACCAUCUGGUCCAGUUGAAUUAUUCAGAUUCAUUAUUGACAUUAACUCUUGUUGUCAUUAUCGUUCAGUUAUGAAAUUUGAAUCCUGUUUGUUCUCAAUUAUUAUAUGGUUGAACGUAGCCAGCUUUUUGUUCAAUUCUUUCAAUCUUGAUAUAUCCUCGAUUAAACCUAUACUUACUGGGCAAACUUGUUGCUCACCCUUGCUAUAUCAUGAUAAAAUUUUUAGAUUAAGAUAAAAAGCUCGAAUAAAGACAGAAGCAAAGGCAAAGUGCAAGAUUAAAUUAUGGUGCAAUUAGAUCUAUUAAAUUUUUUGACGAAAAUAGCAUUGUAAAUCUUCUAAGAUAUUGAAGGUAUGUAUUAAGUUAAGGUUGUAGACCUUGGGAAUGAUGUGUAAAAGUUUAAUGUAUAAACAAUUUAUGUUUAUAUCUUCCGCAAUAGUUAUAGAAAUGAUGUACCAGAUUUAAGGUAAAAAGUACCCGGAUUUGGGGGCGUCACAAAAGCUUUCUGAGAAAUUCUCUAAAAAACACUAUUCAUCCAUUUCUGCUCGGGAAUUAUUUUUGAACUUCCAAGAAAUACGUAAUGAUAGAAUGAUAAGGAAAGAUGGGUUAUUUAAUAAUAAUUCAGUUAUGACAAACGCAGUUUUUCACCUACGUACUAAUUUCGAGAAUGUUAAGGAAAGUAAAGAUUUGAAUAAAUGUUGAUCUUAUGAUAAGAAAGUUAUUAUACGAGAUAAUGAAUACUAGUAUGAUACGAAGUAUUGUACAAGUAUAUACUAAAGAUAAUAUAACGUAUAUAAGGAAUGUUAUACGAACUAGUAUACGAGAAGAAUACGAAGAUUAUACAUUAAAAGCCUAAAGCAUUAGUAAUGGACUAGUAGGAUUUGCUUGUGUAUUUGGCAAGCCCAAGUGAAUUAUUGUUAAGACCCAAAUAUAAGUAAUGCAAGCCCAAAGUUAAUUGAACCUAAGCCCAAACCAAGAACCGAACCCGUGGAUCGAACCGAUUGGUCAUCGGGUGAGAAAACCCAUGGAGCAACCCAUGUGGGUCCCCCAUGGGGGCACAUGGCCGGCCAACUUGGUGGCCAAGCAAGGAACAAGACUUAGCUUGCAAGUAUGGAAUAGUAUGGAGGUGGAAUAGUAAGGAGGUGGGAGUGAUUUUGACCCCUUUGCCCUCACUUUGAAAGUCUAUAUAUAUGGAGCUUUGUUGGUCAUUUUCUUUCUUGUUAAAUUCACCAACAACUUAGAGAAAUUAUAUUGAGAGAGAAGUGAGAGCUAGUCUUUACUAAUCCAAGAAGAAGAAGAAGAAGAAUCAAGUUAGAACAUCAAAGGUAAUGAAUCCUUAGACCAUUAAUCUUCAUCUCUUCAUUUGUAGUUUUGAUAGAGAAGUGGAUAUUGGUGGAGCAUGUAUCAUAAGGAGUAACAAGGAUGGCUAUUAGUGGACCUUAAACAUUAAUAACCAUGUUACAAGUGGAAUCAUAAUCAUAAAAUUAUGAACUAAUGAAGAACACAUGAAAAAUUAUCAUAUGUUGUUGAUGGACAAGUUUAAAACCAUCAUGUAUAGGAUUAAAUGAUAUAUGUUUGGUUAGGAUGAUAGAUAUAUGGAUAAUGGAAUGAAUCCAUUUCAAACGGAGUAAAAAUCUCAAGUAACGAUGUUAUGGCAAAAUUUAUGAGAUUAGACGAUAAUUGUCAAAAUCGUGAAACUCAGAAACCUUAGUUUUUGAUGGCGUAUAGUAGAACUUUGUAUUUAAGAGUUGCGGACUCAAGAAUGGUCGAAUUCUGACUUAAGACGAAGAAACGAGUUAUGAACGUUCACGAACAUUUAAUGAACGCGUAAUAAGGAAUUUAAACUGUGAAUUCAGUGUUAACGGAUUCGAAAAUGUAAGUUGUCCUAAUGAAAUCGUAGUAUACAAGAUAUUUGAGAAAAUGGCUUUUGAACAAGCCAAUUCCGACUUAUAACGAUUAAGUUACUAGCCCGGAAAGGAUUGGAAUUGGAAAACUUAAAAUUUUUUCAAAGGCUUAGGGUCGGCACCGCAGCGCCAACCAAGCCUAUGAACAUGGCGUUGCAGCUCCAUGCCCGAAUCCCAGACACUGGUAAGUCGCGCUGCAGCACGACAUAUAAGAAGGAGACUGGCGCCGCAGCGCCAGUACUAGGCAAGAGGCAGAGAAGAAAGUUUUUUAUUUUUUUUGUUAACUAGGCAGAGAAGAAAGUUAAUAAAUAUAAAGGAAGGGAAGUUGAUUGAAGGUGAAUUAUUACCUUAAUUAAACUUAAAGUAACAUUAUAAAGGGUGAUUAAAACCUUAAGUUUAACGAUUAAUAGUUAACGAAAGGUUACUUGAAUAUAAACACAAAGUAAUACGGUAAACCGUACGCACAUUAAAUGAAUGUUUGAGUUUACUUAAAAUGUAAUUACUUAGGCAUUGAAUGAAUAGGAUUACUUAUAACAAUAAGAUGUUAUAAAUCCGUAAAAGAACGUUAACUAACCUAAUGAAUGUUAGUUAUGUAUAUGGAUUGUUAGACCGAGAAGAAGGGGAAGAUAGGUUAAUGACAAUACUUGAUGAUUGUUUAUGACCUAAUGUGGUAUGUUAUGUAAUUAUGUGAUGUAGAAUCUAUAAAGACUCAAAAGAGAAGUGAAUUAACAGAAGAAGACGCUGAAGGUAAGUGUUCUAAACCCUUGUCUAUGUUCAUUUUGGACAAGCUUUAUGAUUCAUGUAUCUUACGCAUGGAUUGAUGUACAAAGAAGUCGAAGCUAAUUCCUUCGGCUAGACUUCAUGAGUUUUGUGGAUUUCUUAAUAAUCUAUCAAAAUAUUAUCAAUGUUGCUAUGUUAUGCCAACUAUUUUGGUAUGGAUUUCAAAGAAAGACUGAGUAUGAAUAAACAAAUAUUUUGUCGUCAAUUGACAGGCACGUGAGGUUGCCAAAACUUAAACGUAGAUAUGUUUAAUGAAGUAGUGUUGUGCAACAUAGAGUACUAUAGGCUGAUCACCUAAACGUGCUCGUAAGAAAUGUCGGACUUACGGACUUAGUGCCGGGUUGUCCUUUUUAAAGAAGGAAUGAAAUGCUUAAGGUCUUGGGCCAAAAUCAAGGUUUAACAUAUGUUGUUCAAUUUAAAAAAUAUUUUAAAGAAAAGAGAAGUGCUAUUUUGAAUUAUCUAUAGUAAUUUAUAACCAUUAAUUCGGUUAUAGAAGAUAUAUAUUCAUAUGAUUUAAACAUAUUGCUCAAAUGAAAUUGUAACGAUCGAGAAGUUUUGUAAUUAAUUUAAAUAUUUAUAAAAUUAAAUAAAUAUUUUAAAUAAUUUAUUUAUUGAGAAAAAUAAAUAAUUGAUGAAAUUGUGGUGCUAUAAUUUAGUAACUAAAUUGAUUAAUGGUAAUUUUAUUAUUUAAAGAUUUAAUUUAAUGAAAUAAAUAAAUUAAAUGAAAUGAAAUGUUGUUCUAGUCUAAUUUAAUAAUUAAAUUAGAUGUAUAAUAAUUUAUUAAUCAUAAGUAUUAUUAUAAUAAAAAUUAUAAUUAUUAUAACUAUAAUUGUAAGUUAUGUAUAUUGGUUACAUGUGUGACAAGUAAAACUAUAUAAUAUAAAUGUUAUGAAAAUAUAUUGAGAGAGGGGAGUUUGUGUUUAGCCAAACAAGGCCUUGUGGCCUUUGCCAUUUUGCAACUGACGUAACUCUUUGGUUUUUAACCUGAUGCGUUAAGUUAAGAGGCUAUAUCAGUUUAUUUGAGUAUUUUGCCUAAAGCUAGAUAACAGAGUAUAGAGAGAGAGCUUGGUAAGAAGAGAGAAUCAGAGAGAGAGUUGAGGGUUGUGCUGUGAAUUGGACAAGAAGAAGGUUUCUAGAACUUUGUUUACAUCAAGAACUAAAGGUAUACUCUAAUCUUAAUGUUCAUGUUUUGAGUUCCCAUAAUUAUUUUCUGUAAAUUUCUAAAUCACGUUGGAUUGAUACAUAUAUGUAUGUAUGGUGUUAUAAUCUGUUAAUAAUCAUGUAUGAGUGCUAUUUGAUGAUCAAAGAACGUGAAAAAUUGGUUUAUAGGAGGAAAAGCAAAUAACAUUGUUUAUGCAUGAAAAAGGGUUUGUUUAAGUACAAAAUUUGAUGUCCAAUAUGUGAUAUAAUGUAAUAUCCGAGAUUUUUUUAUGUAAUUAUAAACGAAUUUAUAUGAAACUUUUGGGUGAUUUCAUUUAUUAGAUGUAUAUGUGUUGUAUAUAUAUGUGUUAUUUCAAGAUAUGUGAUGAGAUGUAUUUAAAUGGUUGGUUUAGUUUUAUUUAACUAUUUAAAUUGAUUAAGUAGGGAAUUAUUCUAUUUAUUAUGUGGGAUGGUAUUAAAUCAUGAGAUGGAGUUCGGAGCAAAAUUUAGAGACGCGGACUGCGUAUUCGAGUCCGGAACGUCGAAAUUAGUCAGGAUAAACUGUAAUCACGAAAAAGUGUCAUGGUUGACUUUUCAGUUGACUUUUUUGAGGAAAAAGUCAACUACGAAUUUCAAAGGUGAAUUUGACUAAAUAGAUAGUCCCAUGGCGUCCGGAACGUCAACUUUAGUAAGAAUCGAUAUAAGGUUCGCAACGUUCGGCUACGAAGGGCAAAAUGCUCAAAAUAAUUUAUUAAUUGAUUAUUAUAAUAUUUUAUUUAAACAAGUCAGCAGCUGGUGGAACCCUUGUGACUCACGAUUUGGGACAAGGGAGGGAGUAUACGUAUAUUACAUAAUAACUAAGGUGGGAGUACUUUAUUUCAUUUCUUAAAACCAAAAUCCUUUUAUUUUUCUAACUCCCACAUUCAUUUUCUCUAACUCCCACUUUCUUCCUAUUAAUUAACUAAAUUAUUGUAUUACUAAGUAUUAUGUGUAACUAAUAAUUAGAGUUGGGGGUUAUGGGAGUUGGGGGUUAUGGGAAUCAAAAGACUCAAGCAUAUAUCCAUCAAGUUAUACAUAUAUACAUAUCACUCAAACAUCUUUUUUCCUUUUAAGAAAAUUCCACCAAAUUAGUAAGCAUGGAGAGAAGUUGAGAGUGAUUGAUAGUGUGGUAGUAUUAUGGAGAUUACAUAGAAACUAACAAGCAAGUAAGAGGGACAAUCAAAUUAACACAAGGGAAAUUCAUCCAAAAAGAUAAGCCAUGAAACUCUCUUUUUCAUGUUCUUGAAGAAAAAUAGUGAAAAAGCAUGUAUAGCCAUGGUAAAUGGUUUAUAUUGAUUUUGUAAGGUUAUGCUAAUGUUGGUUUCUGUUAUGAGGAUGAUAAGGAAUGAAAAUUAUGGUUUAAACAUGUUGCAACUACAUAGAGAAUUAAAGAUUUCAUGUAUGUAUGCGAUAUGUUUGAUAACAUGCCUUUUAGUAGUCAAUUUGUUCAAAGCAUGAUGAUUUAGUGAGUUGGUUUGUUGUAGCAUGUUCAUAUAUGUUGGUAGAAGUGAUCUGGAGUGUAGGAGUCAAGCCCAUGCAUGCUAGAAUCAAAAUCACAAAAUUUUUCAAAGUUGGUUGAAUGUGAAAUCUGUGAUUUUUGGGUUUUUUGGAGCCUCGGAAUCAUGGUUUAUAUGACUCAUUUAGCGUAUGUAAUAAUUUUAUAAAAUAGUAUGUAGUAUGAAGUCUAAUCUGGCCCAAAUUUCGUUUGAAUCGGAGUUGUAAUCAUCAAGUUAUGAAAAUCGUAAGCAAGCAUGUUCAUAAUAUAAACUGCAGAAAAUUUGGAAUUUCCAGAUUUUUUCUAAGUAUAAAACUAGUGCUGGCACGCUUUUCUAUGCAGUUGGUUCGUGGUCUUAGCAUACUAGUUUUAUGAAUGUUAUAUUUUUGUAAAAUACCUUGCUGUAUGAAGUUUAUUGUGUCCAAGUAUCAUGGUCAUAUCAUCUUUAGAUUAGCGGGAAUAAAAUCGCAAAAGUGGCUGCAAGAAACGAAAAUUUGAUGUCUUUUUUGGAACGGUUUGGAUCAGUCUGUUUUGGGGGCAUUUUCGUCCACUGUGUUGUACUUUAAAAAUCGUGGAAAAAUUUGUAGUAUUAAUAUAAGAAGAUAUGAAGGUCCUGUAAAAAUUUGAGAAAUUUUGGCCAUACGGUUUGAGAGUUGUGAAUUUUACGGUUAGGGACACUUUUUGAGAAGAUACCCGAAUAACUCUGUGUAAGUCCAAAAAUUACGAAAUUUUUACUGGAAGUACUAUGUAUAACAGGAGUUAACCCUGAAAAUUUCAGAAUUUUUGGAGCUAAUCUCGAUUUAUGAAAAAUCAGAGAAUAUUUAGCUAUUAUGGACUAUUUAAAACUAGUAGAUGAAUUUUAAAAAUUUCGGGAAAAUUAUAUGUUCAAUGUGGAACUAUAUUCUACAAAAUCCCAGAAAAGAAAUAUUUUUGGGACUAAUUUGGUAUUUUUUAUAUAAAUGAUGCUAUAUGGAUAAAUGAAUUUAAUUAUAUAUGUGAUGUCAUAAUUAUGGAAAAUGAGAUUUUCCGACUUAAGACCCUUAAGCAUAUUUUAUGCAGAUUUUUGGUAGAGUUUUGGUCCGAAAACUGUCACAAAUUUAUGUUUCCCAGUUUCUUUUAUUUAACCAUGUGGCCUACUCAUAGCAACAUGUUAGGGGAUCAAUUGUAUUUGAAUACGUGUGAGUUUCAUUUUUUUAUUAAAAUAAAAGGGAAGCUAUGUACGAAGGUUUCCUUGAGCAUUUCCCAAAGAUUUUAAUUUCUAAAAUAGUUAUUGACUGUACUUUUAUGUAAGUACCUUUGUAAGGUGUUGUGGUCGAGGUACCAUGAGAGUUACAUAGAUUUUGUAUUGAAACUCACAGCUUAUCUGUUGUCGUACUCUGCACGACAGUUCAACAAUUGUAUAAAUGAAAUUUGUAUUUAAUUUUUAUAAUAUGAUAUCUGGCGACUCAGAAUGGGUCGGGUGGACCUAUUUUGGGGGCGUCACAAUUGGUAUCAAAGCUUAGGGAUAUGGUCGCUGGCGGAGAUAUUAGUCUAGAACUAGGAGGGGAGAGACGAGUAAUAUACUUCGCUAGGGUGUGACUUACCUAAGCUGAAAUUUUUACUUGAUAAGUUGACAAUUUUUGAUAUGUCAAUUAACCUUUAUUUUGAAGGUAUAUUUUAGAAUGAUAUCUGAAAUACAGGAGAUGAGCAAUGGGAAAAUUAUGAUACAGAGGAUAUAACCAGGAAGGUACAAUCCGAAAAGAAAGCAAGAUAUUCUCAUCUCGUCGAACUACCAGGUACGUAAAUUUCGAGAGCGAAAUUUUAUAAGGAGGGGAGAUUGUGAAACCCCGAAUUUUAUGAAAUGAAAGUAUUCAAUUUUCUUAUAAUUAUUCUAUUUAGUAAAUGGUUAAAUUGAUAAAGGUUAAAGUUAAGGGUGAUAUGUGAAAAUUUUGCAAAGUAAGCAAGUUAUUAAAAAUAAUUUGUGGUAAAAUAUGCGUGGUUGCAUAAUAGCACACGAUAUUGGUUAUUAAUGCUUACAUGAUAAGUCACUCAGUUACUCCAUUAUUGCUACAGUAAUUGCUGCAUCAUAUCUCUCAUAUUAUUGAUUCGAUUAUUAUCACAGUAUCAUCUGCAUAAUAUGAUAUAUUAUUAAAUCAAUAAUUGAGACGACAAAGUUGUUCAUAUUAUUAAAUUACAAUAUUUACAAUGUCUAGAAGUUAUGUUAAGGAGAGGUUUGGUCAACUAAUUGCGCGCUAAUAGGGAGAAAUCCUUAUCGAAAAGCCUCCUCUUUCUUGGGAACAACCUGGUUGUUAAAUAUUGUGAGUUAUAAUAUUAAUGAUGAAUAAGUUCGUGUUUGAUUAAAGAUAAAUUUGAUAGUUCCAUUGUGUUGAGAUUAUUUGUGUUAGUAGAAAUCGACAUUUAUUUCGAUAAUAAUUGAUGUCUGGAGGUUAUAUUGUUCAAUCGGGUAUUCAGGGCACUUUUUGUGUCGAAGUACUAUUCACGAGUUACUAUUCACGAGUUACUAUUCAUGAGUUACUAUUUAGGAGUUACUAUUCACGGGAUACUAUUCACCCGAACAAAAUAUAUUUCUUUUCGGUCCAAAUCAUUUUUGGGUACAAUAUUAUUCCAUGAGGAGAUGUUCUAAUUUUUCAGACCGCUGGUUGAAAUUAUAAUAGUAAAUCAAUAUGGACCGUUGGUUUAAAGUUUUAAUAGUGAAUCAGUAUGGACCGUUGGUUUAGAGUUUUAAUAGUGAAUCAGUAUGGACCGUUGCUUUAAGUUUUAAUAUGGACCGUCCGUUUAAAAGUAAAUCAAUCUGGACCGUUCAUGAAUUAGUUACUAUUCAGUCCAUUCUCCUAUAUAUAGAAGCUCAUUCCUUCAUUAUUUCUUACGAAUUCACUGAAACUCUUGAGAGAGAAAGAAUAAGAGAAGUCAGUUACCUUUCUAUUUCAGUAUCUAGCUUUAUUCUAAGGUAAGGGAUAUUAUUUGUUGUACUUGUAAGGGGUAUUAUUUCUUUCUUAUUCAUGAAGAGAACUUCUGUUAUUCCAUUCUUUAUUAUUCUGUUGGAAUAACCUGUUAUGUGAAGUACCACAUACAUGGUGAAAUUCUUCUGUUAUUCCAUUCUUUAUUAUUAUGUUGGAAUAACCUGUUUAUGCGAAGUACCGCAUACAUGGUGAAAUUCUUUUAUUAUUCCGCAUUUAUUAUUCUGUUAGAAUAUCCUGUCAGUGCGUUUUACGGCGGACCUGGUUCCAUUAUUUAUUAUUCCGCAUUUACUAUUCUGUCAGAAUAUCCUGUCGGUGCGAAUUUCGUCUGACCUGGUUCCAUUAUUUAUUAUUCUUUUGGGAAUAACCUGUCUGUGCGGUCUCUAUCGCAUGCAUGGUGAAUCCUUCUAUUAUUCUUUAUUAUUCUGUUAGAAUAACAUGCCUGUGUGGAUUACCAUAUGUAUGGUGAAUGAUCAUUUGUAUUCAUUCCUUAUUAAAUCGUGGAAAUGAUCUGUAUACGUGGAUUACCGCAUGACGGGUGAAAAUCCAUUUGCAGUUUCAUAUAUUCUUUAUUAUACUCAGUUGGUUAAAGUUUUGACUUCUAUACUCCAUGAAAUUUGUGGAAUAUCCUUGAUAUUUGCGCUUCAUCUAGUAUCUUUUCAUGGAAAUAUUCUUCUGAGCAUUCUUGAAUUUUACUCUACAAAGAAGUAUCAUGUUGACAAUUUGGACAUUAUUAAGUUCAGGAUAAAUUAACUUAUAAAUCUUUAAAAUUUAUUUUUGAACUUGUUUUAUUGAAUUAUUAUGUCAUUGUCAUGAUGAGUUAUGUUGGUUAUUAUGUGAAAACAUGAAAGUUUCUUAGAAAUCACAAAGGGUUGAAAAUCAAAUUCUGGUGAAAAUAGAACAUGAAAUUCAACUAACCAUAUCUCCUAUUAUAUUUUGAAUUUUUGAGUGUGGUCAAGUUCUAGAGUUAGAUCUAUAAGUUUCCUAACUUAUCCAAGUGAAAUCACUGGAAAAAAUGUUGUAGAUUUUCGUGUGGACUGAUUUUAGUAAAGGAUGAAAAAUUUGGAAAUAGCAAAAAGGCUACUGCCCAUAAAUUUGAAGGGGUUGUUUCGGCCACUUAAUUUCUGAGAAAAAUUCUGGCCUUUUGGGAGAUGAAAGUAUAUGGUAUAAGGUACCUCCUGUCCAAAAAUGAGCUCAUUCCGACUUAAAAUGAGCAAGUUAUGACCAUUUCAAUAUUUAGGUUUUUCCGACGAAAAACGCUAUAACCGGAGUUCUAUAACUCCGAUGACCAUGAAAUUUAAACUGGAAGCUCACGUUAACAUGUGUAAGAUUCUGCCAAGAGUUGUGAAUUUUUAGAGUUAAACUUGAAGUAGCUAAUUUCUUAAGGAAUUAAUUAGAAAUUGAUUUUUGAAAAAUAGUAAAUGAAUUUUAAAAAUUCCGAGAAAAAUAUAUGUUCAUUAUGGGACUAUAUUCUGCUAAAUCUCAGAAAAGAAAUAUUUUUGGGACUGAUUGGGUAUUUUUCAUUAAAAUGAUCUAGGUAUGAGUAAAUGAGUUAAAUAUGUUAUGUGAAGUAACAAAGUUGGAAAAUAGGAUUUUAUGGCUUGGGAAUCCUAUAUAGGGUAUAUGCAGAUUUUUGAUGAGGGAUUUGAUCAUUGGUGAUGAAAUCUUAUGAGUAUGACAUUUUUGAAUGAUUAAAUGCAUUAUUUGGUAAAGUGUAAACAAUUGAAAUAAAUUGUUUAUAAGUUUAAGAAGUGAUUAAAAUAUUGUUAUAAUAUUAAUAAUAUUAGAUUAUGAGUUUAUUAAGUGAUUGAUAAUAUUUGGAUAAAUUUAAAGUCUUUAAUAUUUAUCCUUGUUUUCGUUUGAUUAAUGCUUAUAUCAUUGUCAUCAUCCUCAUGCUUAUAUUGUGAUGAAAGUCAUCUUUGGCUUACGUGCAUAGAUGGACUUGGUAUGAUUAUGACCAGGGAUUACUCGGUAUAAUCAUGACCGUAAUGGAAAACAUGAAUAUCCUUGACCCGUAGUGCAUGGAUAAUUCGUGGUCGUGAUACUAUUAAGCUAAGUCUCAGCAUUAUUGGUUUUAUAAUUGUAUAUCUUUGGCCUGUAGUGCAAAGAUGAACUGUUGAUUAUUGGUUAUACAGUUGUAUAUCUUUGGUCGUAGUGCAAAGAUAAAUUUAUUAGUAUGAUUAUGAGCAGGAAUUGUGAUUUGGUAUAACCAUGAUUUUUGAUGUUUCAGGUGAAGAUAGGUGAUGUAAAUUAUCUUCGUCCUUGGUAUGAAAAGGAAUUCAGAAUCAUAAUUAUGGUUAUGAGUUAUUCAUAUAAUUAUGGACAAGAAUUGUUGAUUGAUGUUACAGGGAUACAACAUUAUUGGUGGACUUUUAACAGGGAGAAGAUAAUAGACCUGAUGGUCGAUUUGACUCUUUUAAUGGAUUGCUCGUUCUGCUGCAACUAUGGUUAAAAAGUUUUAUCAUCUACCAUAUGUUCUAAAUCUUUGAUUUAUUACUGAUGAAGGCUAUUGAUAAUUUAGUUAUCUUUAGUCAUGAUAUUCUUUACUGGGCUAGUUGUGCUCACCCUUUUGCUUCACAAUUCCUUUCAGGUAAUAAGAGUGUAGCUGGGUCGAGCGGGGAUAACAGGGAAAUAGUGAGAUGGUCCGAGACUGUUGAAGUUUCUCAAUACAUUAUAAAACGGCAUGACAUGAAAUAUAUAAUUGCAUUGAGGACCUAAGAUGUGAGUGUCGUUUUUUAUACGUCACUUAAUAAUUGAUUUUGGUGAAGAACAAUAGGUUGAUGAAAACCCAACUUUGGAAGGGUGUUUUGCCACUAUCAUACAAGAUGUCUAAUGACACACAACCUUGUGUUAUCAUAAGACAGGGUUGUGAACAUCCACUUGCUGAGUAUAUCUACGAGCACUACCUAUAUGAUCUUGGAGUAUAUUUGAAAUAUAAUUCUCACUUGGAGACAACUGAGAUAAUUAUAUGUCAAGAGAAGACUCAUCAUUGGAAGGAACAUGAUAGUAAUCUUCUCAUUUUUCUUUGGGGUCUAUUGGAUCAACCAAGGAUAAUUCUCUGGGCAUAUGAUAUCUAUCAUAACUUAGAUUCGUGGCCUCCUAUGUACGAAGGUUUCCUUGAGCAUUUCCCAAAGAUUUUAAUUUCUAAAACAGUUAUUGAUUGUACUUUUAUAUAAAGUACCUUUGUAAGGUGUUGUGGUCGAGGUACCAUAAGAGUUACAUAGAUUUUGUAUUGAAACUCACAGCUUAUCUAUUGUCGUACUCUGCACGACAGUUCAACAGUUGUAUAAAUGAAGUUUGUAUUUGAUUUUUAUAAUAUGAUAUCUAGCGACUCAGAAUGGGUCGGGUGGACCUAUUUUGGGGGUGUCACAAAAACAAUGUAGUUGGAAUGGUGUCAAUUGGUUAAAAAACGAAGAUUUGGCGAUUGAACUCGCUAAAAGUGUUGAAAUAUAAAGAAAUUGGUAAAAACAAGAUUUUAAUCCUCUAAAUUUGGUUUAUGUAAGUUGUUUUAGGUGUUAGAAGGAUUGUGUGUAUAUGCUAUGUGACUUUAGUUAAGUUUGUAGUGUGUGGGUUAUCCAUGUUAUCGUGAAAUUGGGAUUUUUGGCCUAGAACAGAGACUGUGUUCGAGUUUCUGCAAAAUUAUUUUUGGUACCGAGUGCAGGCGCGCUGCCUCUUGGCGCGGGUGCGCUACCGUGCGGGCGCGCCGGAUAUAAAGUGUGUCAUUUGUAUCCGGCGCGCCCGCGUCAGUGGUCAUUCAGACCCAGUGUUGAGCUGUUAACAACAUAACUUUGGAAAUGCUAACCUAACUUAUUUUAAUGACCCUAAAACAUGUUAUAAGACAUAACAACAUGUUGUAAUCACAACAUUGAAACUAUAAAUUAUAAACUAAUAGGUUGUGAGGGUUUGGAAUGUGAUAUCAUGAGAAUUUGAAUUUGUUUUACAAUCACCAUGUUGUGUACUAUAAUAUAAUUUAGAGUUCAGUUUCAUGGUACGUAAAUGAUUAGGAUAAUCAGACCCUAAGAUAAAAAUUAUAGACUUGGCUAAAAUGAGAAGUAAACCAAUGAAGUUAGUUUUAAUAUAACUAAUUGGUAUUGUGAUCUUAAUGGUAUAUGUAGGGUGUUUGGCGAACGUUAUUAUACAUGUGUAGCUUACAUACGAGGCAAGUUCUCUAACUUCAUUCUCUUUAUAUUAAAUGCAAGUUUCAUAAUUUCGAUAUUUGUUAUUGUCAAGCAAGCUUUCUAGUUCUAAAUUAUCAUUUUGUAAAUCCUAUAUUAAAGUUGAGCAAGCCUAUUAAUUCUAUCUUAUGUAUGGUUGAAUAUGUUCUUGUAACCUAAUUCGUUACAUCGAGCAAGUUUCACAUUCCUAUUUCUUGUUAUUGCUAUUCAAAGCAUAUACUGUUUUAAAACAUUGAUUCAAAUGAGAUUGUUCUAACUCUUUUGAAUGUAGUAAUUUGUAUAUAUAUACCAUGUCUAUUCAAAUGUAUAUUGUCGUCACUCAAACUUUGACUUAAAUAAUCGUGUUCAAUUCUAUAUUAUCGUGUUGAACCUUCAAAUAGUAAGUGAACUCUUAUUGAUUUCUUUAGUGCGGAAAUCCUAAAUGCAAACUGAGAUGAACAACCCUAAUAUAGGGGAUUAUGUACGUGUUAACAUUUAGAUGUUUGUGCACAAUACAUGGUACAAAGAGUUGAUCCCUCUAAGUACAUUAAGAAGGGUCUGUACAGUCUAAAUGACUAUUAAGGUUGGGUAAUAAUACCUAAGUACCGGAGACAUAGUUCAUGGUCUUAAGACCCUCAAAUAUUAAAUUCGAACUUGUUUUCUAUUUUUGAUUCGUAAAACAAGUUCACCAUUGUUCAGAAUUCGUUGUUCAUACUCAUGUUGUUAUUAUUAUUACUCUUUAUAUCAGUGAGCAAUUGUUUGCUCACUCUUGCAAUUAACACAGCAGCUAAAGUUGAGAGAGUUGACGAACCGUCUUCUAGCAAAGGAAAGGGCAAGAUGUCCAAGUGUUGAAGACUUAUGUGAUUUUAUUUCAAAGAAUUAUAUUAUAAGACUUCAUUUAUUUGUGUGAUGUAUUCCGCAGACUCAUGUAAUAGUUUAAGGUUUGUUUACUUAGGAUUGUUUUUAUUGAUGUAACCCUUUAACAGGGAAGAUUAUUGCUUAAUUUAUUUAAUUUAUGUUUUAUCCUUUAUUACAGGUAGUAUAUGUAAUUGUUUGGAUAGUGAGCACCAAAUCCUGUGGGAAUGGAGUACCCAGAUUUGGGGGUGUCACAUAAAUUUUAAUACUUACUGAGCUAGUCAUGCUCACCCUUGCUUGAACCAUAUGAAUGCAUCUAAGAAUGAACGGACUGAAGGAUCCAGUAAGGAUAAAGGAAAGGCUAAGGUGGACAAAUAGUUGUCUUUGUAAUAGCAUAGUAUGAAUUUGUAUUUAUUUGAUAAUAUGAUGAAGAACAUAUGUAAUGGUUAGAAAAGAACCUGGGAAGGGAAAUAUUAUUUUGUAAUAUAUAGAAGACAUAUUCACUCUUUUGAAGUAUUUCAAUUGAAUGUAUGUGUGAACUGUAGCACCGUGUAGCACCAUCUGUAAGGUUAGAAGAUACCCAGAUUUGGGGGCGUCACAACCGAUAUCAGGUGACUAAAAUAAAAAAAAUAGAAUACUGAGCCUUUUUAGGAAUAUGCCCAAAGGUGGAGACGUAUGGUAGCCCAGGUCAGCCCACUAAUGAGAAAAUUUGAAAUGGUGAUGACGUUCAUCGACAUACAAGAAGCUCUUUAUUAUAAGAGGGUGUGACGAACGAGAUUUUGUAAUGUAAUUUGAAUAUUUAUUGUGACACCCCCAAAUUUAGGCACUUCAUUCCCUAAAGACUUGGUGUUCACGAUCCAUUCAUUCAUAUCUAUCUACCCAAGUAAAUAAAAUUUAAUCAUAAAUCCUCCCUUUAAACAUGGUUACAUCAUUAAAUUAAAAUCUUCCCAAGUUGUCUAACCUUAAACAUCAUUCAAGUGCAGAAAUAAAAUUAUUACAUCACAUCAUAAGUAAAAGUCUAACAUCAUAACAAUCAUCAAAAUUACAAGUCUUCAACACUUGUGCAUUUUUCCCUUUUCCUUUGCUAGUUGUAGGUUCGUCGACCUUCUCAACUUUAGCUGCAAUGUAUAUAUAAGCAAGAGUGAGCAAAACAAUUGCUCACUAGAUAUAGUAAUGAAUCAACAUGAUAAUAACAACUGCCAAUGAAUAGGCUCAUCAAAACUGAAUAGUACUCUAUCAAAGACUGGAAUCAAAAUAUGGAAUAUAUAUCUGAGGGUCAUGAGACCACGAACUAUGUCCACAGUUGUAAGUAAUCUUUCAACUUCAACUUUAACAGUCAUAAGACUAUAAGGACUCCUCGUACUUAGGGGGAUCAGCCCUUCGUACAAUGUAUUGUGCACAAACAUUUCAACGCUAAGCGUAAAUUACCCCCAAUAAUAGGGUUGUUCAUCUCAGUAUUUAGAGUACAAGUCCGCACCAAAGUAAGUUUGGUUUGGAUACAUUUCAAGGGUAAUUUAGAAUUCAACGGUCAUCAACUAAGGAUUAGUUGAAUACAAUAUCGAUAACAUCAUGCUAUGGAGUAAUCAUAACUAAAUCGACAUUAAAAAUGAAGAUCAUGCUUUAGGAAUAAACUAACAGCAUAAACAUCGAAUAAUUAUAAUAUGCCUUGCUUGAACAAUGAUAAGCCAAGGUUAUUUGGAACUGAGUACUAAGCAUGCACAACAAAUAGUACUUUAAACGAUAUAACUUGUUCAACAUGAGUAUAUUAGAGUAUGUAAACUUGCAUGCUAGAUAACAAGUUAAAGACAAGAAUAACUUGUUUAAUAUCAGAAUAAGAUCUAGAUUUAGAAAUCAUAAACAAACUAGAUACAAGAACUUGCUCAACAAUAAGAAUAAACUUGCACAAUGUAAAAAAUUAAGGUUUAGAAACUUGUUCAACGUAAAUGUAGAGUUAGAAAACUUGCCUCGCGCAUAGGUUAAACAAUCACUACUCAUGUUCACCCCAAGUCCUACACAUACCAUAUGUAUUGACAAUACACAUUAGCUACACUAACAUUAGCUUCAUGAGUUGUUUUCUUACUUUUAGUAUAGCUACUAAAUAAGUUUAAGUUUAAAUAACAUCGCAUCUUUUCAUGAACAUUACUUUUUAUCUUUAUUACAACUACUUAAGUGAUCAUGUAAUUGCACCACAUAUACAUUAACAAGUUGAUACAACAUCCUAUUACAUGUCCAUCAUGUUAUCAUUAAGUUAUAUUAACACACGUAGGAUUGCACUUGCAUUCGCGUAUCCCGACGCCCUCCGAUUGGCUCCAAAUACAAAAUAGUCCUAAAGAUGGCCAUUUUGACCCUUCAUAAAGAUUUCAAGUUGAAAACCUUAAAGAAUAAAAGUUAUAGGCCUAUUCGUCCUCUUUCUGAAUCAUCUUAAAUCACCUUAAUCGGAGUUCGUAUGAAAAAGUUAUGGCCAUUUUACUACAGGAGGUCAAAACUAUCCGACUCAGGCCACUUUUCCAGCGCUGGGGCACGAGACAGUGGCACUGGGGCGCGAAGUUUUGGGCUAUUUUUGGUGCUGGGGUGCGAAACUUAGCACUGAGGCUCCGAAUUACAGAACACCCCAAAAUAAAACACAGAACAAGGCUAUGUCUAAAUUUCUAACACCAGUUAAACAUGUAUAACUUAUGUGAAUUACACAUAAACUUCACCAAGCAUACAAAUACUAAAUUAACACAACUUAAACAACGAUUUUUAGAAAACUUAAAUUCUUGAAAGCACUGUUUUAAAACAAAACUCCACUACUGACAAUUGAUAAACACAGUGAACACUAUAAAUCCUACUGACAACCAAUCUGAUUACUUUAAACUAUGUUUCUCUGAAUUUCUUACCAAAUUAUCAUCUACAAGGUUCAAUUUCACAAUUUCACAAUUAACAUAUACAAUUUUGAUAUUUCUACCAACCACGUUCAUACAUGAAUAUUUAUUGUAAAUCCAAUUCCUUUUUCUUUAACAUGUAAUUAGCAUAAAAUCUUAUAUACAUGUUAAAUAUACCAUCAUAUAUUCAUAUAUGCUAGUAUAAUAAUUACAAAAACAUGGUUUACAAGAAUUUUGUAACAAUUUUAUACAUAGUGAAAAAGAAGUACACAGAGACAUAUUAUAACGUAAAACAUAUAUUAGUAUCCAAUAUUAAGGUCAUAGACAUACUUUUUUGUUGUUAAGAAAUUCUUGUUAAUCACUAGAAAUAGUUUGAAGAAUUCAGCUCUUAUUGCUUCUCUCUCUCAGACUCUCUCAAAAUCUCUGAACCUUUCUUUUUCUCAAAACUCUCUCUAGCUUUUCUUUCUUUUCUCAAUUUAGCAGAUAACUCAAAGCGUAAAACUAAUAACCAAGCCAAUUCACAGUAUACGUAUAAUAAAAUAAAACCAACGUACAAUUUUAAAACGUAUAAAAACUGACGCUCCACUUAUUACACUAGUAAGUUAUCAGUUANNNNNNNNNNNNNNNNNNNNNNNNNNNNNNNNNNNNNNNNNNNNNNNNNNNNNNNNNNNNNNNNNNNNNNNNNNNNNNNNNNNNNNNNNNNNNNNNNNNNNNNNNNNNNNNNNNNNNNNNNNNNNNNNNNNNNNNNNNNNNNNNNNNNNNNNNNNNNNNNNNNNNNNNNNNNNNNNNNNNNNNNNNNNNNNNNNNNNNNNNNNNNNNNNNNNNNNNNNNNNNNNNNNNNNNNNNNNNNNNNNNNNNNNNNNNNNNNNNNNNNNNNNNNNNNNNNNNNNNNNNNNNNNNNNNNNNNNNNNNNNNNNNNNNNNNNNNNNNNNNNNNNNNNNNNNNNNNNNNNNNNNNNNNNNNNNNNNNNNNNNNNNNNNNNNNNNNNNNNNNNNNNNNNNNNNNNNNNNNNNNNNNNNNNNNNNNNNNNNNNNNNNNNNNNNNNNNNNNNNNNNNNNNNNNNNNNNAAAUUAAACUCCUUUAAUUUAUUUUAAUAAACCAUUUAUAAUAUAGUGUAUGGACACACUUAAUUUACUAAAUUAAAUUACAACAUUAUAAUAAUCUAUUUAAUCAUUAUAAACUCUCUAACUUAAUUUAUUAAUUAAAUUAGAAUAUUAUCUCAUAACAAUUAAUUUUCUUAGCUCCUUAAUUAAUUACUUAACAAAUAAUUAACCAAUCAAAUCAACUCAAAUUAAAUAAGUAUUUAUUCAACAAUAAACACAUUAAAUAAAUAUUUAUAUAAUUCAAUAAAUAUUUAAAAAUUAUCAUUAAAAUUCUGGAUUGUUACAUCCUUCCCUCUUUACAAGGAUUCUGUCCCCAGAAUCACAACUCAAACCAAUCAUUCAUCAUAUUCUUCCCUACUUACAAAGAUUCUGUCCCCAAAAUCGAAGACACAAAUUAAACAAAUAACUCAGGGUAAUUCUUCAUCAUUUCAGCUUCUAGUUCCCACGUAGCCUCUUCGACAUUGUGGUUCCUCCAUAUAUUACCUUCACAGAAGGUAUCACCUUAUUCCUGAGCACUUGUUCUUUCCUGUCGACUAUCUGGAUAGGAACCUUUUCAUAGGACAAAUCUUUAUGAAAUUGCAAUGGUUCGUACUCGAUCACGUGCUUGUAAUCGGAUUUAUACGGUCGCAACACCGACACAUGAAAAACGUUGUGCACAUGUUCUAAUUCUGGAGGUAAAGCUACCUCAUAAGCCACAUCGCCCACUUUUCGUAGAAUUUCGAAAGGUCCAAUAAACCUUGGGCUUAGCUUUCCCUUCUUGCCAAAACAAAUUUUCCCCUUCCAAGGAGAAACUUUUAGGAACACAAAAUUUCCUGCUUCAAACUCGCGAUUCUGCCUAUGUUGAUCAACAUAUUUCUUUUGUCGAUCUUGAGAAGCUACUAGUCUUGUUCUGAUGAGUUUGAUAAUUUCAGCGGUCUGCUGUACCAGUUCUGGUCCUAGUAGUUGUCGUUCACCAACUUCAUCCCAGCAUAGUGGAGUUCUGGAUUUCCUGCCGUAUAAUGCUUCGUAUGGCGGCAUACCAAUGCUUUCAUGGUAACUUUUGUUGUAUGCAAAUUCCACCAACGGUAGAUGAUCAUCCCAGUUUCCUUUGAAAUCCAUGAUGCAUGCUCUAAGCAUAUCUUCUAGUGUCUGAAUUGUUCGUUCACUUUGCCCAUCAGUUUGCGGAUGAUAUGCCGUACUCAUCUUCAAUUGUGUUUCCAUGCAUUCUUGAAGUUUCUUCCAGAAAUUUGAUGUGAACCUCGGGUCUUGAUUUGACACUAUUGAUAUUGGAACUCCAUGUCUUGAGACGAUCUCUUUUUAGAGCAUUCACGAGCAAAGUGAUCCUUGGACCCGCACGUGAAGCAAACGUUCUUCUUAACUCGAGUGCAAUUUGGGGCGAUGUGACCCUCCUGGCAACAAUUGAAGCAUACUCAUUUCCCCAUCAAGCACACACCCUUGUAAAAUUUUUCGCACGUAUCACAUGCUUCGAACUUCUUAUUUUGCUGGUUUCUUUGCUGAUUUCCAGCUCCCCCAUUCACAUUCCACUUCCUCUUCAAAUUGUUGUUGCCAUUCCCACCAUUACCACCACCACCAUUCUUAGCUUCAUCUUCACUCUUCUGCUUCCUCUGCUCUUGGUUGUGUUUUGUUACAGCCUCGCCUCCACUCUCAACGAGAAUUGUUUUCACCAUUACCGCUGCAAACGUCUUCAGCUGGAACAGGGAGACCCUAGUGUACAACCAGGGCUUCAGUCCCUGUUCAAACCUCUUCGCCUUACGUUUGUCUGUGCUAACUUGAUAUGGCGCAAACCUCGCCAACUCGUUGAAUCUUGCGGCAUACUCCGACACCGACAUCGUUCCCUGCUUUAGUUCCAAAAACUGAACCUCUAGCUGACUCUUCGAACUCUCUGGAAAUUAGGUCUCGAAGAACAACUCCUUAAACCUAUCCCAGGUCAUCACUCCUAGUCCUUCCCGAGUUUUAUUGGCCUGCCACCAAUAACUAGCCUCUGCUUUCAACAUGAAUGUUGCAAAAAUAGUCUUCUGAUCCUCCCCUACUCUCGCAACAUCAAACACUUUCUCUAUCUCCAUGACCCAGGUCUGUGCCUCAAUCAGGUUCAUGGUUCCACGAAAUUCUAGUGGUCCAACCGCCUUGAAAUCCUUAAAAGUUGUUCCUUGAUUCUGAGGUUAAUUCUGCAACGCUCCUGUUAGUAACAUUACGAAUUGCUGAGCUGAUUAUCUUCAGCAUUAUUGUUAUUAGUUCCUUCAGUGGCUCUCUGUCGUGGUGGUUGACGUCUUGGAGGCAUUUUCUGUUAAAAAUACACUCAUUAGACUGUUACUCCAUUUCUUUAAGUAUUUCUACUUAAUUUACACACCAAAAAUUAUCACGUAACACAUAACACUUUGGAAUAAAAUAAUAACUUUUAUUCAUUCAUAAUCUUUAAAAAAAUAUCAAAACAAUAGCAUCACUGCUAUUUACAUUACUUUCCUGAACUAUAACAGUUGCAAGAUUACUUCAUCAUCAUCUAUCCUAUUGGUUGUAUCAUACCCGGGAUUUACAUUUCAUUUAUUUUCUAAUCACAUAUCAAUUACAUUCCCUACAAUGUCCUACUAAGAUGUUGUGUAGCCUUACAACGCUCUUCCUCCAUAAUUCGGAACAUUGUUCGGCGAUCUAAUAUGUAUGAUAGUAGCGUCUCGAACUGGAUUGGAUAACCCAUGACCCGAUCUUGAGCUCGAUUGAUCACGGUGUUGAAUACAUUAUUCAUUUCUUCCAUCUUCAUCCUCUUUGCUUGUGCGUCCCUCUCUGCUAUUCCGGUUCGUUGAUAAACUUCAUUGUAUGCAUCUUCAGCUCUUGCCCUCUUAGUAGAUUCCUCCUUUAGCUUAUUCUUCAAUUCUGCAAUCUUUGCUUUAGUGUGAACAAGCUUCUCUUUAACGUUGUUCAGCCGUUCUUCUCGAUCCUGGAUCUAGUUGUCCUUCUGUGCCAUCGAGGUCUGUUGUUCAGCUACUAUUUCUUACAACUCGUCGACAGUAUCUUGAAGUCCCACAUUACAGUCAUACACAUCGUCGUACAUACGGGCAGCUAUCAAGUUAAGUGGAAUCUCUUCCUCCUCGUCCUCCUCAUCCCCCAACUGUGGCAGCUCAACAGGGUCCUCCUCAUCCGUCUCUAUCUCAUCCUCCUCAUCAGGUACUCUCUCCUGCUCAACUACUGUGACCAACAGAACUGUUUCCCGUGGCAGUAGUUGUUCCCAAAUCACCUGAAUAUCUCAAGGCUCCUCCUCUCUAGCCUUACUGGAUCCUCCUAUAUUAGUCAUCCUGUCAACCAAAUUUUAAGUUUUAAUUACUAAUCACUACUACUCGACACUCAUGAGCGCAUAAGUUGUAAUCACAUAAUCACAUAAGUAUUUUAUUACUUCUUCCUUAACAACUCGAUACGAGUUUAUCAUCACUAUCUUUUCAAAGGUUACUUCCUAAGGCUUUUCCCCACCUAAGGUUCAUAACCUAAAGCUUUGAUACCAACCUAUGACACCCCCAAAUCUAGGUACUUCAUUCCCUAAAGACUUGGUGUUCAUGAUCCAUUCAUUCAUAUCUAUCUACCAAAGUAUAAUAAAAUUUAAUCAAAAAUCCUCCCUUUAAACAGGGUUACAUCAUUAAAUAAAAAUCUUCCCAGGUGCGAAAAUAAAAUUAUUACAUCACAUCAUUAAGUAAAAGUCUAACAUCAUAACAAUAAUCAAAAUUACAAGUCUUCAUCACUUGUACAUUUUCCCUUUCCUUUGCUAGUUGUAGGUUCGUCAACCUUCUCAACUUUAGCUGCAAUGAGUGUAUAUAUAUACAAGAGUGAGCAAAACAAUUGCUCACUAGAUAUAGCAAUGAAUCAACAUGAUAAUAACAACUGCCAAUGAAUAGGCUCAUCAAAACUUAAUAGUACUCUAUCAAAGACUGGAAUCAAAAUAUGGAAUAUAUAUAUCUAAGGGUAAUGAGACCACGAACUAUGUCUACAGUUAUAAGUAAUCUUUCAACUUCAAAUUUAACAGUCAUAAGACUAUAAGGACUCCUCGUACUUAGGGGGAUCAGCCCUUCGUACAAUAUAUUGUGCACAAACAUUUCAACGCUAAGCGUAAAUUACCCCUAAUAAUAGGAUUGUUCAUCUCAGUAUUUAGAAUACUAGUCCGCACCAAAGUAAGUUUGGUUUGGAUACAUUUCAAGGGUAAUUUAGAAUUCAACGGUCAUCAACUAAGGAUUAGUUGAAUAAAAUAUUGAUAACAUCAUGCUAUGGAAUAAUCAUAACUAAAUCGACAUUGAAAAUUAAGAUCAAUAGACUGAUAGGAGUAUGUGGAAAUAUGUUUAAGUUAUCUUAUAACAAUGAUGAUAUUAUUCUAAUAGUGGAGAUCUAUAUUAUUAAUAUUAGGUCUUCAGGAGAAGCGUAUUAUAUUGCGUUACGGUAAUCAACGGUUCAGGCAAGUUUUUCAAGUUCUUUUUACUUAAACUCUUUUAAGAGUGGUUUCAGACAGAUAUGCUUAUGAAUUGUACUCUGUACAUCUUGCAUGUAUAAGUCGGGUAUGAAAGGCUGAUCACCUUCAUUACCAGUUGGUCCAGAUAUAUUGUUAUUCCUGUUAAAUACUUGUUCAGUCAAAACUUUGUUCAUGCUAAUUCACAAAUACAUUGUGAAGGAUAGUCAGCUUAUUAUUCAAACUCUUUCCAUCAUGAUAUAUCUUUGCAUUGUUUUUAAACUUGCUGGGCAACUUUCAUGCUCACCCUUGCUAUAUCAUGAUAAAACAUUGCAGAUAAGGCGAAUACGGCCAGUUACAGGAAAAGGAAAAUGCCAAGUUCAGCUUGGGAUAGAAUGUACAGCUAAUUUGUAAAAGUAUGGUUGAAGAAUAGUAUUGUUAUGUGUUAGAUAGCUUAUGAUUUGUGUUUAAGUAAAGGUUACUCGACCUUGGGGAAUAGUGUGUAAUGUAAUGUAUAAACAAUUUAUGUUUAUAUCUUCCGCAAACAGUUGUAGAAAUAGCGAACCGGAUCCGCGGCGAUUCGGGACCCGGAUUCGGGGCUGCUACAGUUGGUAUCAAAGCUGUUGGUUAUGAAGCUUAGGUAGCAAUACCUGAGACCAAUAACCGCAGUGAUUAGGAUAAGUACUAACUCACAUAGAGUUAGUUGAAGAAUCUCGCAGGGUCAAAAAGUUAGGUUUAAGUAUGGUACCAUUGUACUCGAAACUAGUUGAUGUAUGGUAUCUGGGCUAAACGAUUCCUUCAUAGAGCGGAGGUAUAUACGAACUAGCAACUCGGAACCUAGUUUGUUGGUUGUUUGUGGGAAACCACUCAGCGUACCAUAUUGAAAACUGUUAGAGACUCGAUGUGUACCAAGUAUAGGAAGUGGAUAGAUAGAGUCUAAGAGAUUACAAGUGUAAGGAUGGGAGAUCGUAAAACAAAACGAUCACAGAAUAGCAAUGAAUCGUAAUAUAUACGAUGAGAUCACUCCGUGAUCUGAUAAGGUUAUGGUAUGAAGAAAGAUCCAGAGAAUGAUGAAAAGUUUACAGCAAGAUUGCUGUGUAUGAAUUGUACUAUAAAUUGGUACAGAUCCAGAAGAGAAUUAUAAAUACGAAUUAAAUUCGUAUGGAGAAGGGGUUAGUGUUAGGUGGGGAUUCAAUUGAGGACUCAUGUCGGCAGCUGAGUUGUAUGAUUCUUCGUAUGGGAGCUGAAUUGUACUUGGUGUAAAAACCACUUAGUUUCUGGCACUGAUAAUCAUUGAAAUGUUUAUGUCGCGCUAUUUGUUAUAUGCAUGUUCAGAGGGUGAUUCCUUUCUCAUGUGUAUAACAGGUAGAUAGGUCAUAGAUAGAGGAUAUAAGGUUAAGUACGAGUUCUUAAAACUCAUACUUAUGGUACGUUCGUGACUCAUGAUUAUAUGAAAUGUUUAUGGACCCCUCAGCGAAUGGACGCCAAAGGUCUGUCUAGGAAAGUUCUUAAACUCAUAUGAUUGUGGUAAGUUCCUGAACUCAUAAGUGUGGUAAGUUUGACGAACUGGGUAUAGUUAUGUGUGAAAGAAGUAUUGAGGAUUAUAAGAAUAGAUAGAUCUAUUAAGUAAUGGAUCAGUAGAAAAAGUGAAGUUGAUGAUGGAAGCAUAGGUAUUCCAAAUCUUCUAGCUAUGCUAGACUUCGAAUUUUUGACAUCAAGCUAAAUACGCACUAUGUGCCUUUUGAAAACAAAAAUAUAGACUCGUAAUCAUUUUUGAAACGGUUUAAAGUACAGUCUAUGCUACUUAUUUCGGCUAGACGCGAAAGAUUUGAAGUAUCAAAAGUUGUUUUUAUUUAUCACUUAUGUACCAUGCAACCUGGUGCAGAGAUGAUAAAAAAAUGAUGGAGUCAUCAAUGCAGUAUUACUUAGUGUUGGAUGUGAUCUCAGGAUCGUCAACCCACUAUGGUAUGAUGUAGUAUGAUAAAAUCACCAAAUGACGGAAUCCUCAACGGACUGUAAAUACAGUGCGGCAUCAUGACGUCAUUCUCGAAAAAUGUUUUCAAAAUUUUAAUUUGCCAACGGGGUUUGGCUAUACUUAAAUAAUUCUAUUGAACUGAAUUAUCGAUAUGAGUCUAUGCUAUUCGAUUCAGCUAGACUAAUGUUUAUGAAAACUCUAAGUGUUCAUUGAAAGAAAUUUCCCGAACCAAAUUGUUUUGGUGCGGAAUCCUAUACUAAGUCUGAGGUGAACAACCCUGAAAAUGGGGAUAUACUAAUUGGAUAGAAUAUUCCAAUUUAAGGACGCAUAUAGUCGUUCGGAUUACUAAGGUACAAUAGACUGAUCAUCUAAAGUACCAGAAUCGGUAGUUUACCUUCUUCGUGAUUGUAAACAUACCUAUUAAAGAAAUGUUUAAGAGGUAGAGUACCUUUCUUUCUUAAUUGAAAGAGGUAGCAGGUAGAAAUACCCCUAAACCUCGGAGUUCAAAGUUCAUAAUUUUUAUGAUCCCUCAGACAGAUAUGAAAAGUUUUUUUUUAAACCCUUCAGAGUAAUGUUGUGGUAGAACGUGAUGAUUGAUAUGAAAUAAUGUAAACUCGUUGUGUACGAGUAGAAUCUGAGAUGAUUGAAUAAAGGUUAUUACGACAACCUAGUUUUGAAGAAUGUUUAGAAGAUGUAAACUCCUAGUGAGUAGUUCUGGUGAAAUGUGAUGAUAGAAAAAGAAAUCCUCAAAUGAGGAAAUUGUAAAGGUUAAGUUAAAAACCUAGUUAUGAAUAAGAGAAUAAGCAAAGAUUAGUAUGCUUUAAUUUCGAGGACGAAAUUCUUAGAAGAAGGGGUGAAUGUGACAACCCGAAAAGUUUCUAAAAUCUUGAAUGAUUAGAAUAAAGGUUAAAGAAUAAAACCUAGAUGAGAAUUUGAGAAUUUAUUUAAAAUUUUCAAGAAAAACCUAUAUGGUUUGAUAUUCGAAUGAGAAUAGAGAAAAUAUGGGUUACAAAAUUCCAAAACCCUAGAAAUGAAUUAAUAUGUACUUGAAGGAAUAUCAAGAAUAAGGUAUUACGAUACCUGUAAAUUCGAUGUGAAC
rnacentral:lncRNA from 1 species